GUGCUCUCAUAGGCAGCACGUACACUAAAAUUAGAACGAUAUUGAGAGGAUUAGCAUGGCCUCUGAACAAGGAUGAAUACAAAUUUGUGAAGCAUUCCACAGUUUU
ensembl:snRNA U6 U6 spliceosomal RNA